UGUGAAAAUAAUGCAUUUUUCGAUUCAUCUUCAGGAGCCUUCAAAAGAUGUUACGUGCACUGUGUUGAUGAACUUGUCGAAAGAUUUUAGCUACGCUGCCGGAGGAAACCGUUCGGAUAGUUGGAGUAGAUGAGAUCUACAAUUAUGGAUUUGGCUUAUUUUCGACUCCAAGUGUCGAGCCGCACACAAUCAAAGUUUGUACUAGAAGUGAACGCUCUGCUUGGUUAUUUGCAUGUACUUGCAAAACCAGUGAAGGAAAAUGCAAACAUGUGAUAGCUGUUUUGAAUCAUUUAUUGAGAAACUCAAAGCUCAAAAGAACGAUUAACAUCCAACGAGAUUAAAACGAGCGGCAGUCGGAUAUUCCGAACUGAUAACAUCAAGUUUGAGGACAUUUGACAUUUAUUUAUUAAUUAUGUUUUAUUGUCAGAUGAAUAAAUUUAAUAUACAUAAA